rnacentral:rRNA from 1 species
UAGGGAAUCUUCCGCAAUGGGCGAAAGCCUGACGGAGCAACGCCGCGUGAGUGAUGAAGGUCUUCGGAUCGUAAAACUCUGUUAUUAGGGAAGAACAAAUGUGUAAGUAACUAUGCACGUCUUGACGGUACCUAAUCAGAAAGCCACGGCUAACUACGUGCUAGCAGCCGCGGUAAUACGUAGGUGGCAAGCGUUAUCCGGAAUUAUUGGGCGUAAAGCGCGCGUAGACGGUUUUUUAAGUCUGAUGUGAAAGCCCACGGCUCAACCGUGGAGGGUCAUUGGAAACUGGAAAACUUGAGUGCAGAAGAGGAAAGUGGAAUUCCAUGUGUAGCGGUGAAAUGCGCAGAGAUAUGGAGGAACACCAGUGGCGAAGGCGACUUUCUGGUCUGUAACUGACGCUGAUGUGCGAAAGCGUGGGGAUCAAACAGG